rnacentral:rRNA from 1 species
GACGAACGCUGGCGGCGUGCUUAACACAUGCAAGUCGAACGGAAAGGCCCUGCUUUUGUGGGGUGCUCGAGUGGCGAACGGGUGAGUAACACGUGAGUAACCUGCCCUUGACUUUGGGAUAACUUCAGGAAACUGGGGCUAAUACCGGAUAGGAGCUCCUGCUGCAUGGUGGGGGUUGGAAAGUUUCGGCGGUUGGGGAUGGACUCGCGGCUUAUCAGCUUGUUGGUGGGGGAGUGGCUUACCAAGGCUUUGACGGGUAGCCGGCCUGAGAGGGUGACCGGCCACAUUGGGACUGAGAUACGGUCCAGACUCCUACGGGAGGCAGCAGUGGGGAAUAUUGCACAAUGGGCGGAAGCCUGAUGCAGCAACGCCGCGUGCGGGAUGACGGCCUUCGGGUUGUAAACCGCUUUCGCCUGUGACGAAGCGUGAGUGACGGUAAUGGGUAAAGAAGCACCGGCUAACUACGUG